rnacentral:rRNA from 1 species
GACGAACGCUGGCGGCGUGCUUAACACAUGCAAGUCGAACGAAGAGCGAUGGAAGCUUGCUUCUAUCAAUCUUAGUGGCGAACGGGUGAGUAACGCGUAAUCAACCUGCCCUUCAGAGGGGGACAACAGUUGGAAACGACUGCUAGUACCGCAUACGAUCUAAUCUCGGCAUCGAGGAUAGAUGAAAGGUGGCCUCUACAUGUAAGCUAUCACUGAAGGAGGGGAUUGCGUCUGAUUAGCUAGUUGGAGGGGUAACGGCCCACCAAGGCGAUGAUCAGUAGCCGGUCUGAGAGGAUGAACGGCCACAUUGGGACGGAGACACGGCCCAGACUCCUACGGGAGGCAGCAGUGGGGAAUCUUCCGCAAUGGACGAAAGUCUGACGGAGCAACGCCGCGUGAGUGAUGACGGCCUUCGGGUUGUAAAGCUCUGUUAAUCGGGACGAAAGGCCUUCUUGCGAAUAGUGAGAAGGAUUGACGGUACCGGAAUAGAAAGCCACGGCUAACUACGUG